rnacentral:rRNA from 1 species
CAGCCGGGACCACCCGGUAAGGCUAAAUACUCCCAAGAGACCGAUAGUGGACCAGUACUGUGAAGGAAAGGUGAAAAGAACCCCGAACAGGGGAGUGAAAUAGAACCUGAAACCAUACGCUUACAACCGGUCGGAGCAGCUUCGUGCUGUGACGGCGUGCCUAUUGAAUAAUGAGCCUACGAGUUACUAAUCACUAGCGAGGUUAAGUGCAAGGAUGCACGGAGCCGAAGCGAAAGCGAGUCUGAACAGGGCGUUUAGUUAGUGGUUGUAGACGCGAAACCUUGCGAUCUACCCUUGAGCAGGUUGAAGGUUGGGUAAAACCAACUGGAGGACCGAACGAAUAAGCGUUGAAAAGCUUCUCGAUGACUUGAGGGUAGGGGUGAAAGGCUAAUCAAGCUGGGAAAUAGCUCGUACUCCCCGAAAUGCCUUUUGGGGCAGCGUUGUAAUAAAGAGUCUACUGGAGGUAGAGCUACUGAUUGGAUGCGGGGGCUUCACCGCCUACCAAAUCCUGACAAACUCCGAAUGCCAGUAGUAUGAUUUACAGCAGUGAGUGACUGGGUGCUAAUGUCCAGUCGCAAAAGAGGAACAACUCAGACCAGCAACUAAGGUCCCGAAGAAUAUGCUAAGUUGAUCUAACGAUGUUUUGUUGCAGAGACAGCUAGGAUGUUAGCUUGGAAGCAGCUAUUCAUUCAAAGAGUGCGUAACAGCUCACUAGUCGAGCGACAGAGCGUGGAUAAUAAACGGGCAUCAAGCAUAUCACCGAAGUUCUGGGCGCGAGAGCGCGGUAGGGGAGCAUUCCAUUCAGCGUCGAAGCAGUUUCGUGAGGAAUUGUGGAGCGUAUGGAAAAGCAAAUGUAGGCAUGAGUAACGAUAAUGCGGGAGAGUAACCCGCACACCGCAAGACCAAGGUUUCCUGAUCAACGCUAAUCGGAUCAGGGUUAGUCGGGUCCUAAGGGUAAGCCGAACGGUGAUCUCGAUGGACAAUCGGUUAAUAUUCCGAUACUAACAUAUACCUCGAUGGAGAGACGAAGGAACGUAAGUGCCGCCACCUGACGGAAUAGGUGGUUAAAGGGCGUAGGUAUAGGGGCAGAUUAAGAGUUAGUCCUUGCUGAAACCUGACAGUACAGAGAGCCUACGGGCAAUUUGAUAGAGCACCCAAGUCGACUUCCGAGAAAAUCUUCUAAGUUAUAGUAUAUGUUACCCGUACCGUAAACCGACACAGGUGGUCGAGGAGAGUAUCCUAAGGUGCUCGAGUGAAUCACGGUUAAGGAACUAGGCAAAUUAACCCCGUAACUUCGGGAAAAGGGGUCCCUAUGAAAGUAGGGCGCAGCGAAGAGGUCCAGGCGACUGUUUAUCAAAAACACAGGGCUCUGCAAAUUCGAAAGAAGACGUAUAGGGCCUGACACCUGCCCGGUGCUGGAAGGUUAAGAGGGGAUGUCAUCGCAAGAGAAGCAUUGAAUCGAAGCCCCAGUAAACGGCGGCCGUAACUAUAACGGUCCUAAGGUAGCGAAAUUCCUUGUCGGGUAAGUUCCGACCUGCACGAAUGGUGUAACGAUCUGGACACUGUCUCAACCGUGAGCUCGGUGAAAUUGUAGUCCCGGUGAUGAUGCCGGGUACCCGCAACGGGACGAAAAGACCCCGUGAACCUUUACUAUAGCUUAACGCUGAAUUUGGGUACACAAUGUGUAGGAUAGGCCGGAGGCUUUGAAGCGGGCACGCCAGUGUUCGUGGAGCCGACGUUGAAAUACGGCCCUUUGUGUAUUUGAGUUCUAACCCUGCGAAGGGGACACCGUUUGGUGGGUAGUUUGACUGGGGUGGUCGCCUCCAAAAGCGUAACGGAGGCUUCCCAAGGUACCCUCAGCACGAAUGGUAACCGUGCGCAGAGUGCAAUAGCAUAAGGGUGCUUGACUGUGAGACAUACAAGUCGACCAGGUACGAAAGUAGGGUAUAGUGAUCCGGUGGUUCUGCGUGGACUGGCCAUCGCUCAAAGGAUAAAAGGUACUCCGGGGAUAACAGGCUGAUCGCCGCCAAGAGCUCAUAUCGACGCGGCGGUUUGGCACCUCGAUGUCGGCUCGUCACAUCCUGGGGCUGGAGAAGGUCCCAAG